AACCUCUGCAAUAGGCGAAAGCUUGACAGGGUUACUCUGAGUGAUUUCCGUUAAGGAGAUCUUUUGGCACCUCUAAAAAUGGUGCAGAAUAAGGGGUGGGCAAGUCUGGUGUCAGCCGCCGCGGUAAUACCAGCACCCCGAGUGGUCGGGACGUUUAUUGGGCCUAAAGCAUCCGUAGCCGGUUCUACAAGUCUUCCGUUAAAUCCACCUGCUCAACAGAUGGGCUGCGGAAGAUACUAUGGAGCUAGGAGGCGGGAGAGGCAAGCGGUACUCGAUGGGUAGGGGUAAAAUCCGUUGAUCCAUUGAAGACCACCAGUGGCGAAGGCGGCUUGCCAGAACGCGCUCGACGGUGAGGGAUGAAAGCUGGGGGAGCAAACCGGAUUAGAUACCCGGGUAGUCCCAGCUGUAAACGAUGCAGACUCGGUGAUGAGUUGGCUUUAUGCCAACUCAGUGCCGCAGGGAAGCCGUUAAGUUUGCCGCCUGGCGAGUACGUCGCAGGAAGCUC
rnacentral:rRNA from 1 species